UACGGAGGGGGCUAGCGUUGUUCGGAAUUACUGGGCGUAAAGCGCGCGUAGGCGGCUUUGUAAGUUAGAGGUGAAAGCCCGGAGCUCAACUCCGGAACUGCCUUUAAGACUGCAUCGCUAGAAUCAUGGAGAGGUGAGUGGAAUUCCGAGUGUAGAGGUGAAAUUCGUAGAUAUUCGGAGGAACACCAGUGGCGAAGGCGGCUCACUGGCUCGAUACUGACGCUGAGGUGCGAAAGCGUGGGGAGCAAACAGG
rnacentral:rRNA from 1 species